UAGGAAGUGGUGUAGUGGAAGCACUGAGAGUUUUGAGCUCUCCGGGUGGGGUUCGAUUCCCCUCUUCCUAA
rnacentral:tRNA from 1 species